CCUACGGGAGGCAGCAGUGAGGAAUAUUGGUCAAUGGACGAGAGUCUGAACCAGCCAAGUAGCGUGAAGGAUGACUGCCCUAUGGGUUGUAAACUUCUUUUAUAUGGGAAUAAAAUGUUCCACGUGUGGGCUUUUGUAUGUACCAUAUGAAUAAGGAUCGGCUAACUCCGUGCCAGCAGCCGCGGUAAUACGGAGGAUCCGAGCGUUAUCCGGCUUUAUUGGGUUUAAAGGGAGCGUAGGUGGAUUGUUAAGUCAGUUGUGAAAGUUUGCGGCUCAACCGUAAAAUUGCAGUUGAAACUGGCAGUCUUGAGUACAGUAGAGGUGGGCGGAAUUCGUGGUGUAGCGGUGAAAUGCUUAGAUAUCACGAAGAACUCCGAUUGCGAAGGCAGCUCACUGGACUGCAACUGACACUGAGGCUCGAAAGUGUGGGUAUCAAACAGGAUUAGAUACCCGUGUAGUC
rnacentral:rRNA from 1 species